GGGGCUGUAGCGAAGUUGGUUAUCGCGUCUCCCUGUCACGGAGAAGACCACGGGUUCGAGUCCCGUCAGCCUCG
rnacentral:tRNA from 1 species